rnacentral:lncRNA from 1 species
GUUCUGAAAAAAAUCGAUAAAUUCGACAUGGGGUCAGGAAUCUAAGCUUUUUAUUUGCAACACAUUUUCUGUUGUAGUUUUCGCAACUUGCAAUCGAUUUUCACCAAACUCAUGGUGAAGCUUUCUCUCUAUAUAUAAACGGCAGUUUGUCUGUCUGUGUGUGUGUGUGUCUGUCAGGUUGUACCCUCACCCUGACCACGGCUUUCAACCGAUUCUGAUGAAACUUGACACACACAUAGCCCAAUGUCAUAAUUCAAAACUAACGCAGCGAAAAUUUUGAAAAGUUCCCCCAGUUCUGGAAAAAACUUAUAAAUUCCGCCACUUCAAGCAGUCAACGAGACAAAACAUGACCAGACAACAGAAUCAUAGCAUACUUCUGCUAAUCGCAGCUGCAGCCGCAAGUCGUUGCCUACUAGGGGUUCUUACAUACCCGGGCAACGCUGGGCUAUGUUGCUAGUGUAUAUAUAUGUGUGUGUGUUUGUCCCCCCAACAUUGCUUGACAACCGAUGCUGGUAGGUUUAUGUCCCCACCCAACAUUGACAACCGAUGCUGGUGUGUAUCUUUUCAUUUGUCCUGCUUAGUUUUACAUUGAUAUUAAUCAAUUAAAACCAGUGGCUUAGCAUAUUUUAACAUAGACCCCGGUACUCAAUUGUUACUUAAUUUAUCGACCCCCUAAAGGUUUAAAGGCAAUGUCUACCUCGGCGGAAUUUGAACUCAGAACAUAGCAGCAGACGAAAUACCUAUUUGUUUAACACCCACAAGGGGCUAAACACAGAGGGGACAAACAAGGACAGACAAACGGAUUAAGUCGAUUAUAUCGACCCCAGUGCGUAACUGGUACUUAUUUAAUCGACCCCGAAAGGAUGAAAGGCAAAGUCGACCUCGGUGGAAUUUGAACCCAGAUCGUAAAGACAGACGAAAUACCUAUUUCUUUACUACCCACAAGGGGCUAAACACAGAGGGGACAAACAAGGACAGACAACGAAUUAAGUCGAUUACAUCGACCCCAGUGCGUAACUGGUACUUAAUAUAUCGACCCCCGAAAGGAUGAAAGGCAAUGUCGACCUCGGUGGAAUUUGAGCUCAGAUCGUAAAGACAGACGAAAUACCUAUUUCUUUACUACCCACAAGGGGCUAAACACAAAGGGGACAAACAAGGACAGACAACGAAUUGAGUCGAUUAUAUCGACCCCAUUGCAUAACUAAUACUUAUUUAAUUGACCCCGAAAGGAUGAAAGGCAAAGUCGACCUCGGCGGAAUUUGAACUCUGAACGUAAAGACAGACGAAAUACCUCUUUCUUUACUACCCACAAGGGGCUAAACACAGAGGGGACAAACAAGGACAGACAACGAAUUAAGUCGAUUAUAUCGACCCCAGUGCGUAACUGGUACUUAUUUAAUCGACCCCGAAAGGAAGAAAGGCAAAGUCGACCUCGGUGGAAUUUGAACCCAGAUCGUAAAGACAGACGAAAUACCUAUUUCUUUACUACCCACAAGGGGCUAAACACAGAGGGGACAAACAAGGACAGACAAACGGAUUAAGUCGAUUAUAUCGACCCCAGUGCGUAACUGGUACUUAAUUUAUCGACCCUGAAAGGAUGAAAGGCAAAGUCGACCUCGGUGGAAUUUGAACCCAGAUCGUAAAGACAGACGAAAUACCUAUUUCUUUACUACCCACAAGGGGCUAAACACAAAGGGGACAAACAAGGACAGACAACGAAUUAAGUCGAUUAUAUCGACCCCGAAAGGAUGAAAGGCAAAGUCGACUUCGGCGGAAUUUGAACUCUGAACGUAAAGACAGACGAAAUACCUCUUUCUUUACUACCCACAAGGGGCUAAACACAGAGGGGACAAACAAGGACAGACAACGAAUUAAGUCGAUUAUAUCGACCCCAGUGCGUAACUGGUACUUAUUUAAUCGACCCCGAAAGGAAGAAAGGCAAAGUCGACCUCGGUGGAAUUUGAGCUCAGAACGUAAAGACAGACGAAAUACCUUUAUAUUAGAGAGAGAGACAGGAACUCCCUGAUAGACAGAAAGACAAACAGACAGACGUUUCAGAUUGAUGGUGUGUGAACAUUCUAAGCAAACCAAGCAUUUCGUCUGUUUAUUUGUGUAUUUAAGACUUAAUCUGCUAAUCCGUCUAAUCUUUUAAUCGUGUUCACAAAAAACAACAACGAAAAAAACCCCACAAGGGCAGAUGUUUAGUCACAGUUUGACUUAAAUGGUCGAGCUGAUAGAGAGCUGAAGACAGACAGACGUUUUCCUUUUUGGCCAAGCCCUCCUCUUUCACCACAGUCAACGUUUUUCAAAUUCCACUAGGUAAAGCGGAUCUUUUCGGUUUGACCGGCAGUUUUUUAGAAUAAUUUCCACGCAACUGAACACUUUUAAACUUCGUAUACUGGUAGAAUGUGUUUAUAAAACAUCUUUUUCUCUUGGCUUUAUUGAGAAAAUUCUAUAGUUUGUAAGAUAUUUGCUGUUUUUUUCCUUCAAUUUCUGCAAUUUCAACCAAUCACUGACGUCUAUUGAGGUGAAAACAUUCUGUGCCGUAUGAAUAUAUCCCUCGUUUAAGAAAUAGGAUCUUUUCGGUUUGACCGGCAGACAGACAAUACCUUUUUUUAAAAUAAUUUCCACGUAACUAAACACUUUUAAACUUCAUAUACUGGUAGAAUGUGUUUAUAUAACAUCUUUUCUCUUGGCUUUAUUGAGAAAAUUCUAUACUUUGUAAGAUAUUUGGGUCUUUUCGGUUUGAUCGGCAGUUUUUAAAAUAAUUUCCACGUAACUAAACACCUUUAAACUUCGUAUACUGGUAGAAUGUGUUUAUAAAACAUCUUUUCUCUUGGCUUUAUUGAGAAAAUUUUAUAGUUUGUAAGAUAUUUGUUGUUUUUUUGUUCAAUUACUGCAAUUUCAACUAAUCAAUGACGUCUAUUGCGGUGAAAACAUUCUGUGCCGUAUGAAUAUGUCCCUCGUUUAAGAAACAGAGAUCUUUUCGGUUUGACCGGCAGUUUUCUAAAAUAAUUUCCACGUAACUAAACACUUUUAAACUUCGUAUACUGGUAGAAUGUGUUUAUAAAACAUCUUUUUCUCUUGGCUUUAUUGAGAAAAUUCUAUAGUUUGUAAGAUAUUUGUUGUUUUUUUUUCCUUCAAUUUCUGCAAUUUCAACCAAUCAAUGACGUCUAUUGAGGUGAAAACAUUCUGUGCCGUAUGAAUAUGUCCCUCAUUUAAGAAAUAGGAUCUUUUCGGUUUGACCGGCAGUUUUUUAAAAUAAUUUCCACGUAACUAAACACUUUUAAACUUCGUAUACUGGUAGAAUGUGUUUAUAAAACAUCUUUUUCUCUUGGCUUAAUUGAGAACAUUCUAUAGUUUGUAAGAUAUUUGUUGUUGUUUUUCUUCAAUUUCUGCAAUUUCAACCAAUCAAUGACGUCUAUUGAGGUGAAAACAUUCUGUACCGUAUGAAUAUAUCCCUCGUUUAAGAAACGGGGAUCUUUUCGGUUUGACCGGCAGUUUUUUAAAAUAAUUUCCACGUAACCGAACACUUUUAAACUUCGUAUACUGGUAGAAUAUGUUUAUAAAACAUCUUUUUCUCUUGGCUUUAUUGAGAAAAUUCUAUAGUUUGUAAGAUAUUUGUUGUUUUUUAGUAACUGCUGCCGGUGAGAUGGGUGGCUCGUGAUCCCUUGGUUUCCUUGGGCGCCCUCAAAGACAUCCUGUAUCAGGAGGAUCGCAUCCUAGCUCUGACCAUCAUAGUGACAUAGUGUAUCUAGGACUACAUUAUCUAAUGUACAGCAUAGUAGUUAGUAUUAGAGGCUAUAGUUGUUGUUUAGCCACAGGUCAGUCUUGAUCAGAAGAUCUGUGCCGUAGAAUAUGUCCCUGUUAAGAAAGAGUUGGGUUUAUUUACAUUUCUGAAGAAAAAAGAUACCUUCCCCCACCUCUAACCCUAACCCUAACCUAAACGGAUCUUUUCGGUUUGAACGGCAGUUUUUAAAAAUAAUUUCCACGUAACUGAACACUUUUAAACUUCGUAUACUGGUAGAAUGUGUUUAUAAAACAUCUUUUUCUCUUGGCUUUAUUGAGAACAUUCUAUAGUUUGUAAGAUAUUUGUUGUUUUUUCUUCUUCAAUUUCUGCAAUUUCAACCAAUCAAUGACGUCUAUUGAGGUGAACACAUUCCGUGCCGUAUGAAUAUGUCCCUCGUUUAAGAAACAGAUCCAAGAUAUUUAGUAACUGCUGCCGGUGAGAUGGGUGUCUCGUGAUCCCUAGGUUUCCUUGGGCGCCCUCUAAGACAUCCUGUAUCAGGAGGAUCGCAUCCUAGCUCUGACCAUCAUAGUUACAUAGUGUAUCUAGGACUACAUUAUCUAAUGUACAGCAUAGUAGUUAGUAUUAGAGGCUAUAGUUGUUGUUUAGCCACAGGUCAGUCCUGACCCAGCAGACAGACCCAUGAUCAAAGAUGUUCCAGCUGUGACCAUCUCAUCUUUCAUUCAGGCAUAGUGUAUCUAGGACUACAUUAUCUAAUGUAUAGUAGUUAGUAUUAGUGGAUUUAGUUGUUGUUUAGCCCCAGGUCAGUCCUGAUCCAGGCAGACCCAUGAUCAAAGACAUUCCAGCUGUGACCCUCCCAUCUUAUAUUCAGGCUUAGUGUAUCUAGGACUACAUUAUCUAAUGCGCAUUAAAGUAGUUAGUAUUAGCGGCUAUAGUUGUUGUUGGUAUUUAGCCCCAGGCAAAUGAUGUUCUAUACACACAUACACGUAUACAUACAUGCAUACAUACAUACGUACAUACACGCAUACAUACACACAUACAUGGAUGCAUACAUGCAUACAUACACGCAUGCAUACAUAGAUACGCACAUACAUACAUAUAUAUAUACACAUACAUACAAACAUACAUAUAUACAUCCUACAUACAUACAUAGAUGCAUACAUACAUGCAUACAUACACACAUACAUACACAGAUGCGUACACACAUACAUACAUACAAACAUACAUACAUACAAACAUACAUACAUACAAA